CUCGCGCGGCGCGCGGAAGCCUCUUCCGCUGAAAGCUGGCUGCUUGUUGGUAGAUACCUCGCCGAGUUGGUGUUGGGGCCUUAAUUGUGAGUGGCCAAAAUGUGGGAGCCGCGAGGCCAUUGCGGUGCGGGCCACUGGCCGUUUGCACCGCGGAAGUGCGCUGAGGGCUAAGCGCGCCGGACACGUCUCUUUGAAACCAAUGCGCUGUUAGGCGGCGCCACGCCAAGGACCGCCACCCCUUCAGUCGGAUGGUGACGCCUGAACUCAUUGCUGCUGAUGGCUGAGGGAGACUUGAUAAGGUACUGUUAGAAGUAAUAGUAGCUGAGAUCAUCCGGAUGCCUUACAGGGAAUCUUCACUUUUAAAUCUUGAAAUGACUGUUGUGAAUAGUAGUACGACAGUUACCAAUACAGUCCUGAGCCUUUAACACCAAAUAAAAAUUGAUGGGUAAUAA